rnacentral:rRNA from 1 species
GACGAACGCUGGCGGCGUGCCUAAUACAUGCAAGUCGAGCGGACGAUUCAAAAGCUUGCUUUUGGAUCGUUAGCGGCGGACGGGUGAGUAACACGUGGGCAACCUGCCCUGUAGACGGGGAUAACACCGAGAAAUCGGUGCUAAUACCGGAUAAUACGAAAGGCCGCAUGGUCUUUCGUUGAAAGGCGGCGCAAGCUGUCGCUACAGGAUGGGCCCGCGGCGCAUUAGCUAGUUGGUGAGGUAACGGCUCACCAAGGCGACGAUGCGUAGCCGACCUGAGAGGGUGAUCGGCCACACUGGGACUGAGACACGGCCCAGACUCCUACGGGAGGCAGCAGUAGGGAAUCUUCCGCAAUGGACGAAAGUCUGACGGAGCAACGCCGCGUGAGCGAAGAAGGCCUUCGGGUCGUAAAGCUCUGUUGUUAGGGAAGAACAAGUACCGCAGUCACUGGCGGUACCUUGACGGUACCUAACGAGGAAGCCACGGGUAACUACGUGCCAGCAGCCGCGGUAAUAAU